rnacentral:tRNA from 1 species
GGCCUCGUAGCUCAGCUGGUAGAGCGCUUGCCGUGUUGAGGCGUACUGUGUCUGUGGCUGGUUCGAAUCCAGCCGAAGCCC